CUCUCACCAACAGGUACAGGAUAUUCCUUUUCCUCUGGACCUUCUCUCCUAACUCUUCUAGUGUCAUGUCAAUGAAUCUAUACAUGCCCUUGAUUCAGAAGAAUUAUUUUCAACCGCAAUAUGAACAGUGAAUAUCAGAAGUCUCAAAUUUAAAGAAAAAUGCUGGUCAAGAAAAGAAAAUCUACAGGUGAAAACCACAAUAUCUAUCAAGACUGCCCUGGGGACUUGCUUCCAUUGUUAGAGACUCCUGGAUGAUCUGAGGAUCAGAGGACUGGCAGGAAUGGAACAUUGGAAGCCCGACGGACGGACAAGUCAGGGAAUAUGAAUACCCC